GACGUAGGGCGCGAGCGUUGUCCGGAUUUAUUGGGCGUAAAGAGCUCGUAGGCGGCUUGUCGCGUCGUUCGUGAAAACCCGAGGCUCAACUUCGGGCUUGCGGGCGAUACGGGCAGGCUGGAGUUCGGUAGGGGAGACUGGAAUUCCUGGUGUAGCGGUGAAAUGCGCAGAUAUCAGGAGGAACACCGGUGGCGAAGGCGGGUCUCUGGGCCGUACCUGACGCUGAGACGCGAAAGCGUGGGGAGCAAACAGG
rnacentral:rRNA from 1 species